UUAAGCGACUAAGCGUACACGGUGGAUGCCCUGGCAGUCAGAGGCGAUGAAGGACGUGCUAAUCUGCGAUAAGCGUCGGUAAGGUGAUAUGAACCGUUAUAACCGGCGAUUUCCGAAUGGGGAAACCCAGUGUGAUUCGUCACACUAUCAUUAACUGAAUCCAUAGGUUAAUGAGGCGAACCGGGGGAACUGAAACAUCUAAGUACCCCGAGGAAAAGAAAUCAACCGAGAUUCCCCCAGUAGCGGCGAGCGAACGGGGAGCAGCCCAGAGCCUGAAUCAGUGUGUGUGUUAGUGGAAGCGUCUGGAAAGGCGCGCGAUACAGGGUGACAGCCCCGUACACAAAAAUGCACAUGCUGUGAGCUCGAUGAGUAGGGCGGGACACGUGGUAUCCUGUCUGAAUAUGGGGGGACAUCCUCCAAGGCUAAAUACUCCUGACUGACCGAUAGUGAACCAGUACCGUGAGGGAAAGGCGAAAAGAACCCCAGCGAGGGGAGUGAAAAAGAACCUGAAACCGUGUACGUACAAGCAGUGGGAGCACGCUUAGGCGUGUGACUGCGUACCUUUUGUAUAAUGGGUCAGCGACUUAUAUUCUGUAGCAAGGUUAACCGAAUAGGGGAGCCGAAGGGAAACCGAGUCUUAACUGGGCGUUAAGUUGCAGGGUAUAGACCCGAAACCCGGUGAUCUAGCCAUGGGCAGGUUGAAGGUUGGGUAACACUAACUGGAGGACCGAACCGACUAAUGUUGAAAAAUUAGCGGAUGACUUGUGGCUGGGGGUGAAAGGCCAAUCAAACCGGGAGAUAGCUGGUUCUCCCCGAAAGCUAUUUAGGUAGCGCCUCGUGAAUUCAUCUCCGGGGGUAGAGCACUGUUUCGGCAAGGGGGUCAUCCCGACUUACCAACCCGAUGCAAACUGCGAAUACCGGAGAAUGUUAUCACGGGAGACACACGGCGGGUGCUAACGUCCGUCGUGAAGAGGGAAACAACCCAGACCGCCAGCUAAGGUCCCAAAGUCAUGGUUAAGUGGGAAAACGAUGUGGGAAGGCCCAGACAGCCAGGAUGUUGGCUUAGAAGCAGCCAUCAUUUAAAGAAAGCGUAAUAGCUCACUGGUCGAGUCGGCCUGCGCGGAAGAUGUAACGGGGCUAAACCAUGCACCGAAGCUGCGGCAGCGACGCUUAUGCGUUGUUGGGUAGGGGAGCGUUCUGUAAGCCUGCGAAGGUGUGCUGUGAGGCAUGCUGGAGGUAUCAGAAGUGCGAAUGCUGACAUAAGUAACGAUAAAGCGGGUGAAAAGCCCGCUCGCCGGAAGACCAAGGGUUCCUGUCCAACGUUAAUCGGGGCAGGGUGAGUCGACCCCUAAGGCGAGGCCGAAAGGCGUAGUCGAUGGGAAACAGGUUAAUAUUCCUGUACUUGGUGUUACUGCGAAGGGGGGACGGAGAAGGCUAUGUUGGCCGGGCGACGGUUGUCCCGGUUUAAGCGUGUAGGCUGGUUUUCCAGGCAAAUCCGGAAAAUCAAGGCUGAGGCGUGAUGACGAGGCACUACGGUGCUGAAGCAACAAAUGCCCUGCUUCCAGGAAAAGCCUCUAAGCAUCAGGUAACAUCAAAUCGUACCCCAAACCGACACAGGUGGUCAGGUAGAGAAUACCAAGGCGCUUGAGAGAACUCGGGUGAAGGAACUAGGCAAAAUGGUGCCGUAACUUCGGGAGAAGGCACGCUGAUAUGUAGGUGAAGUCCCUCGCGGAUGGAGCUGAAAUCAGUCGAAGAUACCAGCUGGCUGCAACUGUUUAUUAAAAACACAGCACUGUGCAAACACGAAAGUGGACGUAUACGGUGUGACGCCUGCCCGGUGCCGGAAGGUUAAUUGAUGGGGUCAGCGCAAGCGAAGCUCUUGAUCGAAGCCCCGGUAAACGGCGGCCGUAACUAUAACGGUCCUAAGGUAGCGAAAUUCCUUGUCGGGUAAGUUCCGACCUGCACGAAUGGCGUAAUGAUGGCCAGGCUGUCUCCACCCGAGACUCAGUGAAAUUGAACUCGCUGUGAAGAUGCAGUGUACCCGCGGCAAGACGGAAAGACCCCGUGAACCUUUACUAUAGCUUGACACUGAACAUUGAGCCUUGAUGUGUAGGAUAGGUGGGAGGCUUUGAAGUGUGGACGCCAGUCUGCAUGGAGCCGACCUUGAAAUACCACCCUUUAAUGUUUGAUGUUCUAACGUUGACCCGUAAUCCGGGUUGCGGACAGUGUCUGGUGGGUAGUUUGACUGGGG
rnacentral:rRNA from 1 species